CGGUCAACUUACCCCAUACUCUAACCUGAAUGCAGGGAUCAUAAAACUUUAUCUUUUACCUUAAUUGUUAGAUGGGUGUUGAUACCAAACUUUUUUUUCUCGUCUACCCAGGAGAAAGUCAUGGGUUCUGCUGCUGAGUGUCUUUUAUUCUGCUUACCUGACUCAUGCAGAAUUCUGGCUUGAUGUUUGGUCCACCUGUUAGCUGGCUCUGGUGCUUGGUAGUCUUCUCAAACCUCUGAAUCAAGACCACCAUGAGAGGCCUUCUGAAGACCAUCAUUACGCUGCAGAUCCAGUGGUCUUUACUAUGAGAUAGAACUGAACUGGAGUCUGUGAACUAAUGCUGUGUUCGAGACAACUUGGAUGUUUGAUAUUAUUGACCUCAAACCCAUAAGAAGUCUGGAACAGUAAACAAAGUUGAGUAUCCGACCUCUCAACUUGGGACAGAUCCAUCAACACCGACCUCAACGAGAUGCGUAAUUUGACAUUGCAGACAAGCUCUUAAGGAUGAAGCACCCUGAUCUACUAAGAUGCACAGAUUCAACUCUGGCCCAGCAUCAUCCCCACACCUCAUCUGCCAUCAGUUUAAUUUAAUGUCUGUCAAUUGCAAAUGCUAUUUCAGUUAUAUUACAACUUAAUAUUAACUUUAAUUGAGACUAGUAUUGUGUAAAGCUGGGGUUUCCAAACUGUUCAUUUUAAAACCUAUUAGACAAGUAUAAUCUAUUCUAGACCCACUAAAAUAUUUUUAAAUAUACAUUUUUUUAAUGGGGUAAAACACAUUUGUUCUCUUUCAGUGGAGUCAUUUUAUUUUCAUAAUAUUUCAUAAUGUGAA